GGCGGCAUGCCUAAGACAUGCAAGUCGAACGAAGUGAACCGAUGAAGUUAGAGUGCUUGCACAAAGAUGAAUUCGGAUCUCACUUAGUGGCGGACGGGUGAGUAACACGUGGGUAAUCUACCUUUAAGAUUGGGACAACACAGGGAAACUUGUGCUAAUACCGAAUAGGAAGUAGAAAUGUAUUUUUUGUUUUGGAAGGUGCCUUUAAAGCACUACUUAAAGAUGAGCCUGCGGCGUAUUAGUUAGUUGGUAGGGUAAUGGCCUACCAAGACAAUGAUGCGUAGCCGAACUGAGAGGUUGAUCGGCCACAUUGGGACUGAGACACGGCCCAAACUCCUACGGGAGACAGCAGUUAGGAAUAUUCGUCAAUGGGGGAAACCCUGAACGAGCAAUGCCGCGUGAGUGAUGAAGGUCUUUAUGAUUGUAAAACUCUGUUGUAUGGGAAGAACACUAAGUAUAGGAAAUGAUACUUAGCUGACGGUACCAUGCCAGAAAGCCCCGGCUAACUACGUG
rnacentral:rRNA from 1 species